UUAGCGGCGGACGGGUGAGUAACACGUGGGUAACCUGCCCAUAAGACUGGGAUAACUCCGGGAAACCGGGGCUAAUACCGGAUAACAUUUUGAACUGCAUGGUUCGAAAUUGAAAGGCGGCUUCGGCUGUCACUUAUGGAUGGACCCGCGUCGCAUUAGCUAGUUGGUGAGGUAACGGCUCACCAAGGCAACGAUGCGUAGCCGACCUGAGAGGGUGAUCGGCCACACUGGGACUGAGACACGGCCCAGACUCCUACGGGAGGCAGCAGUAGGGAAUCUUCCGCAAUGGACGAAAGUCUGACGGAGCAACGCCGCGUGAGUGAUGAAGGCUUUCGGGUCGUAAAACUCUGUUGUUAGGGAAGAACAAGUGCUAGUUGAAUAAGCUGGCACCUUGACGGUACCUAACCAGAAAGCCACGGCUAACUACGUGCCAGCAGCCGCGGUAAUACGUAGGUGGCAAGCGUUAUCCGGAAUUAUUGGGCGUAAAGCGCGCGCAGGUGGUUUCUUAAGUCUGAUGUGA
rnacentral:rRNA from 1 species